GACGAACGCUGGCGGCGUGCUUAACACAUGCAAGUCGAACGGAAAGGCCCUGCUUUUGUGGGGUGCUCGAGUGGCGAACGGGUGAGUAACACGUGAGUAACCUGCCCUUGACUUUGGGAUAACUUCAGGAAACUGGGGCUAAUACCGGAUAGGAGCUCCUGCUGCAUGGUGGGGGUUGGAAAGUUUCGGCGGUUGGGGAUGGACUCGCGGCUUAUCAGCUUGUUGGUGGGGUAGUGGCUUACCAAGGCUUUGACGGGUAGCCGGCCUGAGAGGGUGACCGGCCACAUUGGGACUGAGAUACGGCCCAGACUCCUACGGGAGGCAGCAGUGGGGAAUAUUGCACAAUGGGCGGAAGCCUGAUGCAGCAACGCCGCGUGCGGGAUGACGGCCUUCGGGUUGUAAACCGCUUUCGCCUGUGACGAAGCGUGAGUGACGGUAAUGGGUAAAGAAGCACCGGCUAACUACGUGCCAGCAGCCGCGGUGAUACGUAGGGUGCGAGCGUUGUCCGGAUUUAUUGGGCGUAAAGGGCUCGUAGGUGGUUGAUCGCGUCGGAAGUGUAAUCUUGGGGCUUAACCCUGAGCGUGCUUUCGAUACGGGUUGACUUGAGGAAGGUAGGGGAGAAUGGAAUUCCUGGUGGAGCGGUGGAAUGCGCAGAUAUCAGGAGGAACACCAGUGGCGAAGGCGGUUCUCUGGGCCUUUCCUGACGCUGAGGAGCGAAAGCGUGGGGAGCGAACAGGCUUAGAUACCCUGGUAGUCCACGCUGUAAACGGUGGGUACUAGGUGUGGGGUCCAUUCCACGGGUUCCGUGCCGUAGCUAACGCUUUAAGUACCCCGCCUGGGGAGUACGGCCGCAAGGCUAAAACUCAAAGGAAUUGACGGGGCCCCGCACAAGCGGCGGAGCAUGCGGAUUAAUUCGAUGCAACGCGUAGAACCUUACCUGGGUUUGACAUGGAUCGGGAGCGCUCAGAGAUGGGUGUGCCUCUUUUGGGGUCGGUUCACAGGUGGUGCAUGGCUGUCGUCAGCUCGUGUCGUGAGAUGUUGGGUUAAGUCCCGCAACGAGCGCAACCCUUGUUCACUGUUGCCAGCACGUUAUGGUGGGGACUCAGUGGAGACCGCCGGGGUCAACUCGGAGGAAGGUGGGGAUGACGUCAAGUCAUCAUGCCCCUUAUGUCCAGGGCUUCACGCAUGCUACAAUGGCUGGUACAGAGAGUGGCGAGCCUGCGAGGGUGAGCGAAUCUCGGAAAGCCGGUCUCAGUUCGGAUUGGGGUCUGCAACUCGACCUCAUGAAGUCGGAGUCGCUAGUAAUCGCAGAUCAGCAACGCUGCGGUGAAUACGUUCCCGGG
rnacentral:rRNA from 1 species